rnacentral:lncRNA from 1 species
CCCAUUGCCACCUCAAAAGGGCUCAUCCUUGUGGCGAAGCUCCUAUAGAGGUUGUAACUAAGGGGAGUAGCAUCAAGCAAAUCAACCCAAUUUUUCUAAGUGGCGCCUAUCACAUUGUGUUUGAAAUGCUUCACCAAUAGAGCUUUCAUAUUUUUAGUUUAGCCAUUAGUUUAAUAGUGAUUGUUGAAAAUUUCAAAUUUGAUCCCUACUUGAAUAUGUGAACCCAAAACUUUAAUGAGCAUCUCUAUCACUAACAAUAUCUUC